rnacentral:rRNA from 1 species
UACGUAGGUGACAAGCGUUGUCCGGAUUUACUGGGCGUAAAGAGCGCGCAGGCGGUCGAUCUAGUCGAGUGUGAAAGCCCCCGGCUCAACUGGGUAGGGUCAUUCGAUACUGAUCGACUCGAAGGCAGGAGAGGGUAGUGGAAUUCCCGGUGUAGUGGUGAAAUGCGUAGAUAUCGGGAGGAACACCAGUGGCGAAGGCGACUACCUGGCCUGUUCUUGACGCUGAGGCGCGAAAGCUAGGGGAGCAAACGGG